rnacentral:rRNA from 1 species
CCUACGGGUGGCUGCAGUGGGGAAUAUUGGACAAUGGGGGCAACCCUGAUCCAGCCAUGCCGCGUGUGUGAAGAAGGCCCUCGGGUUGUAAAGCACUUUCAGUGAGGAAGAACGCCUGGUGGUUAAUACCCAUCAGGAAAGACAUCACUCACAGAAGAAGCACCGGCUAACUCCGUGCCAGCAGCCGCGGUAAUACGGAGGGUGCGAGCGUUAAUCGGAAUUACUGGGCGUAAAGCGCGCGUAGGUGGCUUGAUAAGCCGGUUGUGAAAGCCCCGGGCUCAACCUGGGAACGGCAUCCGGAACUGUCAAGCUAGAGUGCAGGAGAGGAAGGUAGAAUUCCCGGUGUAGCGGUGAAGUGCGUAGAGAUCGGGAGGAAUACCAGUGGCGAAGGCGUCCUUCUGGACUGACACUGACACUGAGGUGCGAAAGCGUGGGUAGCAAACAGGAUUAGAUACCCGUGUAGUC